rnacentral:rRNA from 1 species
AUUGAACGCUGGCGGCAUGCCUUACACAUGCAAGUCGAACGGCAGCACGGGAGCAAUCCUGGUGGCGAGUGGCGAACGGGUGAGUAAUGUAUCGGAACGUACCUUUCAGUGGGGGAUAACGUAGCGAAAGUUACGCUAAUACCGCAUAUUCUGUGAGCAGGAAAGCAGGGGAUCGCAAGACCUUGCGCUGAUUGAGCGGCCGAUAUCAGAUUAGCUAGUUGGUGAGGUAAAGGCUCACCAAGGCGACGAUCUGUAGCGGGUCUGAGAGGAUGAUCCGCCACACUGGAACUGAGACACGGUCCAGACUCCUACGGGAGGCAGCAGUGGGGAAUUUUGGACAAUGGGCGCAAGCCUGAUCCAGCCAUGCCGCGUGCGGGACGAAGGCCUCGGGUUGUAAACCGCGUUUCAGCCGGAAGAAAGUCGCCAAGGACUAAUAUACCUUCGGUGGAGUGACGGUACGGAACGAAGAAGCACCGG